rnacentral:rRNA from 1 species
AACGAACGCUGGCGGCAUGCCUAACACAUGCGAGUCGAACGAGACCUUCGGGUCUAGUGGCGCACGGGUGCGUAACGCGUGGGAACCUGCCCUUAGGUUCGGAAUAACUCCCCGAAAGGGGUGCUAAUACCGGAUAAUGCCUUCGGACCAAAGAUUUAUCGCCUUUGGAUGGGCCCGCGUUGGAUUAGCUAGUUGGUAGGGUAAAAGCCUACCAAGGCGACGAUCCAUAGCUGGUCUGAGAGGAUGAUCAGCCACACUGGGACUGAGACACGGCCCAGACUCCUACGGGAGGCAGCAGUGGGGAAUAUUGGACAAUGGGCGAAAGCCUGAUCCAGCAAUGCCGCGUGAGUGAUGAAGGCCUUAGGGUUGUAAAGCUCUUUUACCCGGGAUGAUAAUGACAGUACCGGGAGAAUAAGCGCCGGCUAACUCCGUG